AUGAGUAGCGAAAGAAGGGUGAGAAUCCCUUCCACCGAAUAUCUAAGGUUUCCUGAGGAAGGCUCGUCCGCUCAGGGUUAGUCGGGACCUAAGCCGAGGCCGAUAGGCGUAGGCGAUGGACAACAGGGAGAGAUUCCUGUACCAGUGCUAAUUGUUUAACCGAUGGGGUGACACAGAAGGAUAGGGAAUCGCACGAAUGGAAAUGUGCGUCCAAGCAGUGAGUGUGAGAAGUAGGCAAAUCCGCUUCUCGCGAAG
rnacentral:rRNA from 1 species